GCCGAGGGGGUGAGGAAUACAACACCCGAAAGGGGAAUAACUCCAGCUCACUUUACAGGGCUUCUGAACCCCUCGGCACCCUAUU
rnacentral:ncRNA from 1 species